UGUAUUGGGUCAUCCCAGUUCAUACUGGGGUCAUCCCAGUCCAUCCUAGGGUCAUCCCAGUCCAUACUGGGGUCAUCCCAGUCCAUACUGGAGUCAUCUCAGUCCAUGCUGGGGUCAUCCCAGUCCACGCUGGAAUCAUUCCAGUUCAUACUGGGGUCAUCCCAGUCCACACUGGAGUCAUCCCAGUCCAUGCUGGGGUCAUUCCAGUCCAUCCUAGGGUCAUCCCAGUCCAUGCUGGGGUCAUCCCAGUCCAUAUUGGGUCAUCCCAGUUCAUACUGGGGCCAUCCCAGUACAAACCAGGGUCAUCCCAGUCCAUGCCGGGGUCAUUCCAGUCCAUCCUAGGGUCAUCCCAGUUCAUACUGGGGUCAUCCCAGUCUAUACUAGGGUCAUCCCAGUCCAUAUUGGGCCAUCCCAGUCUAUCCUGGAGUCAUCCCAGUUCAUACUGGGGUCAUCCCAGUCCAUGCUGGGGUCAUCCCAGUCUGUAUUGGGGUCAUCCCAGUACAAGCUGGGGUUACUCCAGUCCAUACUGGGGCCCCAGACCCUCCCUAGUCCGUACUGGGACUCCUACAGUCCAUACUGGAACCCCCCUGUG
rnacentral:lncRNA from 1 species